GCAAACUUGGUCAUUUAGAGGAAGUAAAAGUCGUAACAAGGUCUCCGUUGGUGAACCAGCGGAGGGAUCAUUACUGAGGAAUCUUAUUCCUUAAACCCCUGUUAUCUUUACCUGUCCUGUUGCUUUGGCAGGCGGUCCCAGGGCGGGACCGGUGGCCUUUUUGGUGCCUGCCAGAGGAAUUUUUUUCAAACUAUUUGAUUUAAACUUGAAUCAGAGUUUUAUACAAAUGAAUCAAAACUUUCAACAACGGAUCUCUUGGUUCUGGCAUCGAUGAAGAACGCAGC
rnacentral:misc_RNA from 1 species